UUCUAGAGCUAAUACAUGCAACUGAGCUCUGACCACUUGUUGGGAGGAGUGCAUUUAUUAGAACAAGACCAAUCAGGCUUUGCCUGGCUUUGGUGACUCUGAAUAACUCAGCCGAUCGCACGGUCUUGAACCGGCGACGAAUCAUUCAAGUGUCUGCCCUAUCAACUGUUGAUGGUAGUUUAUGUGACUACCAUGGUUGCAACGGGUAACGGAGAAUAAGGGUUCGACUCCGGAGAGGGAGCCUGAGAAACAGCUACCACAUCCAAGGAAGGCAGCAGGCGCGUAAAUUACCCACUCUCGGCACGAGGAGGUAGUGACGAAAAAUAUCGAGGCAGUUCUCUAUGAGGACUGUUAUCGGAAUGAAAACAAUCCAAACCUCUUAUUGAGGAUCUAUCAGAGGGCAAGUCUGGUGCCAGCAGCCGCGGUAAUUCCAGCUCUGAAGGUGUAUACCACCAUUGUUGCGUUUAAAACGCUCGUAGUUGGAUCUACGUUGGAAGUGAUGGUCUGACGAUUCGUUGGUACUGUUAUCUUCCAUUGAUGAAGUGGGUUCUCUCUGCGUCUGCUUAACUGUGGGCGCAGGGAAGCUCGCAUCUUUACUUUGAAAAAAUUAGAGUGCUCAAAACAGGCGCAAGCCUGAAUAUUGUUGCAUGGAAUAAUAGAAUAGGAUCCUGGUCCUAUUUUGUUGGUUUUACGGAACCAAGAUCAUGAUUGAGAGGGACAGACGGGGGCAUUCGUAUUGCAGGGUUAGAGGUGAAAUUCUUGGAUCCUUGCAAGACGAACAACUGCGAAAGCAUU
rnacentral:rRNA from 1 species